GGGCCCGCACAAGCGGUGGAGUAUGUGGUUUAAUUCGAUGCAACGCGAAGAACCUUACCAGGGUUUGACAUCCUGCGAAUCUCUUGGAAACGAGAGAGUGCCUUCGGGAACGCAGUGACAGGUGGUGCAUGGCUGUCGUCAGCUCGUGUCGUGAGAUGUUGGGUUAAGUCCCGCAACGAGCGCAACCCACGUCUUUAGUUGCCAGCAUUUAGUUGGGCACUCUAGAGAGACUGCCGGUGAUAAGCUGGAGGAAGGUGGGGAUGACGUCAAGUCCUCAUGGCCCUUAUGUGUUGGGCUACACACGUGCUACAAUGGCACUUACAAUGGGAUGCAAAGAGGUGACUCUAAGCUAAUCCCAAAAAUGUGUCUCAGUUCGGAUUGUACUCUGUAACUCGAGUGCAUGAAGCUGGAAUUGCUAGUAAUCGC
rnacentral:rRNA from 1 species